UGGAGAUGCAGGGAAUCGAACCCUGUACCUCCCGCAUGCAAAGCGGGCGCUCUACCAUUUGAGCUACAUCCCC
rnacentral:tRNA from 1 species